UCACCAGGUGCCCUGAGCUGCGGGGUCUCACCCUGUCCGGCGGCGUCCCUGACACCGUGAGCCUGGAGCCCCUCACCAGGUGCCCUGAGCUGCGGCGUCUCACCCUGUCCGGCGGCGUCCCUGACGCCGUGCUGGACAGUCUCAGCGGCUGCCCCGGGCUGGAGUACCUUACACUGGGGGACUGCCAGCGGCCGGCAGAGACGGCCUUCACAGCAUCAGCGGUCACCAGACUGGUCAAGUCGUGUCGGGAGCUGCAGCUUCUGUUCCUUCACUGCACGGCAGACACCGGCCGGGCCGUGCUGACCGCCCUGAAGGAGGCGGACCUGCGCCGGGGCCCAUCCGGUACCAUCUGGCUCAUUGUCCCCGAGGAGCUGUACCGUCAGCUGGAGAGACAGGAAGGCGGUGGGGUCAGAGUGUGUCCGUGGGAGGAUUGAUGCGCUGCACUACCGACCGUGCAGUGAUGAGCUGACUGCAGAGAGUCCGAGCCAGUCGGCCGGGGCCGCCAGCUGACUGCUGCCGUGUGUGCUGCACCAGCCGGCACUGAGAGCGGCGCCGGUCAGCCGGCACACGGCCCCGGUGUCCGCUCUAGUGUAGUCAUGUAGUUGUAGUAGUAGUAGUGUAGAUGUAGUAGUAGCACACGGAUGUGAUGUAGUAGGUAAUUACCGGCCGGGUAUUGUGGGUAAUUGGACGGAAGAUGUGAUGCAGUGGGUGAUUACCGGGCGGGUAUUGUGGGUAAUUGGACAAGAGAUGUGAUGUAGUGGGUAAUUACCGGUUGGAUAUUGUGGGUAAUUGGACAGUGACAAGUGAUGUGCUGGAGAGACUACCGAUCGUGGCAUUGCGUUAUUCUGUAUGUGGAACACACGUCUCUGACCGUCCGACUCGGUUCACCGCGCCUGGUCCCGGCGGCACGGCCGGCCUCGGUCACGUGACCGUCCCCCGGUGGAGUCGGACGGCUCGGUCACGUGACCGCUCCCCCGGGUCUGGCUGCACCUCGGCUCGGCGGUGCUGAGCGCCGUGCUGAGCGUGUUGUGACACGUCCCACACGGACAGCUCUACUCUACUACUGGCUAGCUGCCGUCCGAGCUGGCAGUAUACACGCGGUGCCAGUUCAGACGGCGGCCGGCCGCGCCGCGCCCGCCCGCUCCGGUCCCGGCCGGCGGCCGUCACCCGGCCCGGGGCGGGGACCGGUCCGUCAGCUGACCAUUGGUCCGUCAGCUGACCAUUGGUCCGUCAGCUGACCAUUGGUCCGUCAGCUGAUUGGUCCGUCAGCUGAUUGGUCCGUCAGCCGCCCCGCUCUCCACCGGCGGAGCGCGGCGCACGCCGAGACUCGAGACGUCAAACACGAUGUAUAUAGGUUUAGGCUGGGUUUAGGGGUUUAAUCGGAUGGUCUGGUGUAGACCAUAUGUCUAUUCUACUCUAUAUGUAAUAUACUAACAAGAGGAGUUGCUUGAGC
rnacentral:lncRNA from 1 species